CCCUUAGAUGUUCGGGGCCGCACGCGCGCUACACUGAAGGAAUCAGCGUGUGUUCUCCCUGAUCCGAAAGGACCGGGUAACCCGUUGAACCUCCUUCGUGCUAGGGAUUGGGGAUUGCAAUUAUUCCCCAUGAACGAGGAAUUCCCAGUAAGCGCGAGUCAUAAGCUCGCGUUGAUUACGUCCCUACCCUUUGUACACACCGCCCGUCGCUACUACCGAUUGGAUGGAUUAGUGAGACCCUCGGACUGGAACCUAGAGGCGGUGGUUCAUCCACCAAAUCUUGGAGCCGGGAAGAAGGUCAAACUUGUCUAUCUAGAGGAAGUAAAAGUCGUAACA
rnacentral:rRNA from 1 species